GACAGAGGGUGCAAACGUUGUUCGGAAUUACUGGGCGUAAAGCGUGUGUAGGCGGUCUCGAAAGUCGGAUGUGAAAGCCCUGGGCUCAACCAAGGAAGUGCAUCCGAAACUGCUGAGCUUGAGUACGAAAGAGGAUCGCGGAAUUCCCGGUGUAGCGGUGAAAUGCGCAGAUAUCGGGAGGAACACCCGUAGCGAAGGCGGCACUCUGGGCCGUGACUGACGCUGAGGAGCGAAAGCGUGGGGAGCAAACAGG
rnacentral:rRNA from 1 species